AUCUUUUCAUGACCUGGUCUACAGUUUCACGCGUAUUAAAGAUCCGGCGGUGUCUGACAAAGCGUCGGGUGAUUGUUCAUAUCUGUCAUUUAAAAUAAAGUUAAUAAAUGUAAUUCUGUCCACUAUGGCAAAAUAGGAAUUUAUUUUAGAUUUAGGGGAAUCUUUAACCAUGUCUCUGAUUAAAACUUUUGAUUGUAACAUCACAAGUUAUUUAAUUAAAUAUUCUGUAUACGGGUAUAGUUUAAGCAAUGACCUGAGCCAUUACCUUCGGAGCCGUCAAUACUACAUUCUUUAGACGAUAGUCUAAACUAAAUAAAUUUUUAAACGGUUCAGGAAUUCCGUGAAUCUUUUCAUAACCUGCACUAUAGUUUCACGCGUAUUAAAGAUCCGGCGGUGCCUGACAAAGCGCCGGGUGAGUGUUCAUAUCUGCCGUUUUAAAAUAAUGUUAAUAAAUGUAAUUCUGUCCACUAUGGCAAAAUAGGAUUUUAUUUUAGAUUUAGGGGAAUCUUUAACCAAGUCUCUGACUAAGACAUGUGUAUACGUGCACAGAUGGUGACAGAGAAACUUACAUAUGACGUUAAUAAACUUUUAAAUGUUUUUAAGACGUAUUCACCCCAUUUUGGGGUUUUAUUUUUAAUUAAAGGCUUCUUAAAACAUGUGUGAAUAUGUGUAUAUUAUACAAAGAGUCUUAUAUUGUCUGCUCUGACAAAAAUAAAGUAUUUUUUAGGUUUAGGGGAAUUGACUGCGUGUGUCUUAUAAAUACAACUUGAUAAUACGUUUGUUUUGUAAAGAGACUUCUUUAAAGUCACGCAAGAAUAAAAUAUUUUAGUUGUAACUGGUUAAACUUAAAGCCGAUAUUUUCUAUCGAACUAGUCUAUUUUCUGUUCAGACACAAAGUUUUCUGAUGCUGAUAUUAUGUCAGUGUGUGUUUGUGUGGGGGUCGUGUGAUGUAAUCUUUGAAAGUUUAUGACCGAACCUUUAUUGGGGGGCGACAAGAGAUCUCCCGGAAUCAGUUUGGAUGGAGCAGAGCUGUUAUACUCAAGUCUAUUGGUAUGUAUGUGUUUCGCUGUGUUCGUGCCAGUAUUUUGUAUGAUUUAUUUAAAAACUAAAAAUUCGAUCUCUGGUAUUGCAGCGAAAUUGUCUAAACUGGUAUUAACUAUUCCUGGUAAAUCGCGGAGAAGAGUGGCCUGAACAAAAAAGUCAGACCGAGACUAGAACCUCCCGCAGCGUAACACGGAAAUCUUGGAACAAAAGAGACGCCGACUGGCUCGUGUUGUCCGGUUUGGAUAUCAGAGGCAAAGCGAACGUUGUGUGUACUAUUGCAAAAUAUAUAGCGGAUCUCCACGGUUAGGAUACAGACCACAACGCUUUGGACGUAUCUUUAAAAAAGAUUAAAAUCAGAGACUUUUUGGAUUUGUCUGGGGACAUUUUAAACAUUUUGUGGCAAAUUGGAUUUAAAACAUUUCGGAUACUGGAUACCUAGUUUGAUUUGUCCACAGAGCUUGUUUAAGACGUUUUCACCGCAUUUUAGGGUUUAUUUUUAAUCAAAGGCUUCUUAAAACAUGUGUGAAAAUGUGUAUAUUAUACAAUGAGUCUUAUAUUGUCUGCUCUGACAUAAAUAAAUUUUUAUAUUAGAUUUUAGAUCAAUUGACUGUGUGUGUUUUAUGUCAAGCGUAUGCUGUUAUGUUUAAUGACGGCUCGUGUGACAGCUUGUGUUUAGGCAUUUGAUGUCAGAUAUCACCCUUCCUCCCUCCUUUCGCACAAGACCUGCAUUCUUUCACAGGGGUGCGUGUUGUAAAGCGAUUAAAGAUUUCUAAAACUCAAUGUUGGUAAAACAAUCCCCCAUUACGGUGUCAAAAAAGUAAAAUGUUUAUUUUAGAUUUAGACAAAUCAUGAACAAUGCUACGAUUAAAACAUUUGUUUGUAACAUCACAAGUUAUUUAAUGAAAUAUUCCGUAUACGUGUAUAGUUUAAGCAAUGAUCUGAGCCAUAACC